rnacentral:sRNA from 1 species
GUUGUUAGGCCGAGUGGUUAAGACGUGUGGCUUUCCCUGAUGUGAGAGUUCAAAUCUCUCAGGCAACA